rnacentral:rRNA from 1 species
CUCCGACUCCUCGCAUGGGGUGUCGGGAAAGAUUUCAUCGGUAUGGGAUGGGGUCGCGUCCUAUCAGGUAGUCGGCGGGGUAACGGCCCACCGAGCCUACGACGGGUAGCCGGCCUGAGAGGGCGACCGGCCACAUUGGGACUGAGAUACGGCCCAGACUCCUACGGGAGGCAGCAGUGGGGAAUAUUGCACAAUGGGCGCAAGCCUGAUGCAGCGACGCCGCGUGCGGGAUGACGGCCUUCGGGUUGUAAACCGCUUUUGAUCGGGAGCAAGCCUUCGGGUGAGUGUACCUUUCGAAUAAGCACCGGCUAACUACGUGCCAGCAGCCGCGGUAAUACGUAGGGUGCAAGCGUUAUCCGGAAUUAUUGGGCGUAAAGGGCUCGUAGGCGGUUCGUCGCGUCCGGUGUGAAAGUCCAUCGCUUAACGGUGGAUCUGCGCCGGGUACGGGCGG